rnacentral:rRNA from 1 species
AUUGAACGCUGGCGGCAGGCUUAACACAUGCAAGUCGAACGAGCGGCGGACGGGUGAGUAAUGUAUGGGGAUCUGCCUGAUGGAGGGGGAUAACUACUGGAAACGGUAGCUAAUACCGCAUACCAUCAGAUGAACCCAUAUGGGAUUGUCUUUGAGGGGAGGUAACGGCUCACCUAGGCGACGAUCCAUCGCUGGUCGCAGAGGAUGAUCAGCCACACUGGGACUGAGACACGGCCCAGACGCCUACGGGAGGCAGCAGUGGGGAAUAUUGCACAAUGGGCGCAAGCCUGAUGCAGCCAUGCCGCGUGUAUGAAGAAGGCCUUCGGGUUGUAAAGUACUUUCAGUCGGGAGGCGUUACCGACAGAAGAAGCACCGGCUAACUCCGUGCCAGCAGCCGCGGUAAUAC